ensembl:lncRNA
UGGUAAUGAUUCAACAACAGGCGCUAUUCUCAUAAUGAGUUCUUCCAAGCAGUACUGUAACCUGGGGUGUGUUUAUAAGUUUAAAUCUCUCAUUCUGCUGCAGCAAACUGCACCAUAUUUCCCACUUUAGGCUGCAUGCUUAGGGACGCCCAAAUGAUGUGUCACCACCCAACCCUGCCAAUCAAUUACUACACUGUCUGAUGCAGACAGACUAAGGAGGCUUUUGUUAUUGUAAGACAAUAGCCAAAUAAUAAGCAAUAUAUUGUGUGUGGGAUUUAAGAAUUCGAGGGAGUAAGUUAGUGAGCGAGAGUCCAAUUUUAUGUUACGUGCUUUUUCUGGUACGAUGUCCUGCUACAUGAAGAAAGAGGAAAAAUAACAACCAUGUUCUGAAUACAGGGAAUAGCCGAUCCCCAGCUGACAUUGGGCGAAGGCAGGGUUCGCCCUGGACUGGUUGCCCGACUGUCACGAGGCUACCAGCGCAACACCUGGGGACAAUAGAGUCAUCUGAACGUCCCAAAGCAGGGGAGCGCACCCUGGGAGGGGCGCAUCUUCAGCACUAAAACACACACAGAAAUAUUCCAGCGUACCCAACAUGCAACAAUUGAGCCGACGUCUUCUCAGAGACCUAAAUCCAUCGUUCAUCCCGGAUCGAGCUGCUCUUGAUGGGCGGACGGCAGGACUCCGAUCGGACAAGAGGAAGUUGACUCUGGGUUUACAUCGUGAUGCCUGAUGGUCAAACGCAGUCAUGGACAAUGUUUCAUCUUUUUUUCUGUUUGGAUGUCAUAUUUUCCAUGUCGUUGUUGUGUUGCCAUUGUUUAUGCAAAUUCAAAAGAUUCCAAGCAAUACUAUUCUGUUCCGUUAGUCCUUUCCUUGGUUAGCAAGGUACAACGGCAUGGCAUUGUGUCAACAUGUGUAGCAUAGUGACCACAAAAUGUUCCUGAAUCUUGCAUAUUAAUUCACAGUGAUCACUCACACUAUUCCCAGUGGGGCCUGGAGGCCGGUUUUACUGAAGCCCUGCUACCUUGUAAUCUGCCAUCUGUUACAUGUGUAAAGACAUAGAAAGUCAUGAUGAAAGGUGCUGAAAGAGAGCAAAACUCAGAACAACUUCUCAAAUUAAAUACAUCUAAUUCUGAAAGGAUAGAAAACGUUUUCCAAAGAUGCAGCCCGUCGGCAUUCCCCAGGGAUUUAUAUUAAGAGUCUUGCUGUGAGAUUGAUUAAAUCCGGUCUACUGUCAGAUCACCAAAUAGGGACAGUUCUUCGGGUGAGGGCUGAAUGGUGAAUUUGUUGGUACACGUCUCUUUGCCGAAGGCGGCUUUUGGUGAAGUCAGAUAGGAGGAAAAAAAGAUUCCUCGAUUCAUGUUUCAUUUACUGCCUCAGUUUCAGGUCCAAACUGGUACCUUUUAAUGAAUACCUGCGGAAAAGAGGUCUAUAAAACAAAGAUGCACACAUCAGUACACAGACAUCCGCCUUCUCUGCUGUCACAACAGCGAUGUGUGUCAGUCUACUGCCGGUAUGUCGUCGGCAUGUGGGGCCGAGGACGCUGUCGUCCAGCUGGGGGGCGGCAUUCCGCUCAUACCUGGCCUUCCUCUCACUUCAAGGCACACACCUUUGGGUAUCAGCACUGGGCUGCAGGGCUGCGUGCGUGUCCAUUGUGGGUGUAUUCACAGCUUUGGUGCGGUUAGUUGAGAAUGAGAACGAUCGUUUAAUUCUGACUAAGUAUCAUCGUAUAGAGAUGCGUCAGCAACAUGCUACAUGCCACAGCAUGACUUCUACGAACCCGUUGAUGACAUGACCUGCAGCUAUGUUGAGCAACACCAAGUAUAAAGUAAGAUCAAUUGGAUAGAAAUGCAGAAUGGUAAAAACAAACAAAGUCUGUGAAUGAAAACCUGAAUCAAAGUACGAUUGACAUUAAUAAAUCCUUCUGGAACAACGUUUACAGCUUGUUAACAAAUACAGGUAACUACUACUAAAUUAACCGUUUCCAAAAAUAAUAAAACUAAAAUAUCAAGUAAUUACAAUAAUUAGAGAAACAGUUCUGGUCGUCAACUUCCUUUUAUUUUUAUGGUGCAAAACCAUAGUUUGAACUUGAAGAUAUUGAUUCAAAUAGCAAAGCUGUCAAUGGUGCAUUACUGUCUUUAUCAUUGAAGCCUAAAACAAGGGCCUCAGCGCUGUAAGGGCCCCAGGGCCCAAACCUACUUCUGUGAACCAACAGGAACAAGUUGCUGCAGAGACGGACUACUCUGAAUAUUAGGCGUGUGUGUAAUUAUAUAUAUAUAUACACACACACACACACACACACACACAUAUGUAUAUAGGUCAGAAGUGCGUUCUUAAUGGCGGCACCAACCCGAGGACCUCACAGGUCUCAUGCAGAGUGCAGAGCAGCAGAUGAGUCUUAUUCCGUUGGAUGGGUCCCACACGCAGAAAGAAAACUGAGGAAUAUGUUACAAUGUUAAUUACUAGUUCUAAAUAUGUGGUUUUUAUUUGAUUACUUACGGAGUCCUCAGUGUGUGUGACUCGAGCUGCUUCAGAGAACCAGUUGGUUUGGAAAUAAAGUUUGGAUACAGAUGUGUGCUUGAGUCAUAUCAAACAGUUCGAGAUUUCCUAGAAUUAUCAAAUUGCUCGGUGUGUAAUUACAGCGUUUUGUAAACUUUCGCCAGCAUGAAUGACGUCGUUGAUUUUUGGACUGCUGGACUUGAUUUUCUUCAACAAA